UUUUUUUCUUUUGUUGGUAUGUGAAGCUAGGUGGUAUGUAUUUAGCAACAAUAUAAUUAGCAUAAUCAGCAUACGAAGGUGUACUAUUAGAAACAUUUAUUGCAGCUAAUUGUUCAUCGGGAAACCUAUCAUUAAUAGGUUGUGGGUCAUCAAGAAUAUUUUCAAGCCUAGAUAAGUUAUCAGCUACGGGGUUCUCUGCUCCUUUCCUAUCAGUGAUAUGAAAAUCAAAUUCUUGUAACAGAAGAACCCACCUAAUGGAUCUAGGUUUAACAUCUUUCUUUUCCAUAAGAUAUUUAAUAGCAGAAUGAUUGGUGUGAACAAUAGCUUUAGAAUCAACAAUGUAAGAUCCAAAUUUAUCACAAGCAAACACUACUGCUAAGAAUUCUUUUUCAAUAGUAGAAUAAUUUCGUUGAGCAUUGUCUAGAGUUUUACUAGCAUAAUGGAUAGCAAUCAAUUUCUUAUAAACUCUUUGUCCUAGCACAUCACCAACAACAUAAUCACUAGAAUCACACAUAAUCUCAAAAGGCAAGUUCCAAUCAGGUGGUUGAACAGCAGGUGCAGGAAUUAAGGCUUUGUUUAGUGUUUCGAAGGCUUUCAAACAAUCAUCAUCAAACACAAAAGGAAUAUCCUUUUGCAAAAGAUUUUUAAGAGGCCUAGAAAUUUUUGAAAAGUGUUUGCUAAACCUCCUAUAGAAACCAGCAUGACCAAGGAAACUACGAAUACCUUUGAUAUCUUUAGGACAUGGCAUUUUCUCAAUUGCAUCAACCUUGGCUUUGUCCACCUCAAUGCCUCUUUCAGAAAUUUUAUGGCCCAAAACAAUACCUUUGUUAACCAUAAAGUGGUACUUCUCCCAAUUCAAGACAAGAUUUAUUUGUUCACAUCUCUGCAAUUCUCGUCAAGAUUGCUUAUAAAAUCAUCAAAAGACUUCCGAUAAACAAAAAAGUCAUCCAUGAAAUACACAACAAUGUUUACACAGAUAUCAGAGAAUAUAGCAGUCAUACAUCUUUGAAAGGUAGCAGGUGCAUUACAUAAACCAAAACGCAUACGUCCUGUAAGCAUAAGUUCCAAAAGGACAAGUAAAAGUGGUUUUUUUCUUGAUCAGGUUGUGAAACAGGUAUUUGUGAAAAAUCAGAAUAUCCAGCAAGAAAGCAAAAAUGUGUGUGCUUAGAUAGUCUUUCUAACAUUUGAUCAAUAAAAGGCACGGGGUAAUGAUCUUUUCUAGUUGCUUUGCUUAAUUUUCUAAAAUCAAUUACCAUUCUAUAACCUGUGACAAUUAUUUGUGGAAUAAGUUCAUUCUUAUCAUUAGGAACAACAGUAAUACCCCCCUUCUUAGGGACACAAUGAACAUGACUUACUCAUCUACUAUCAGCUAUAGGAUAUAUUAUACCUACUUCCAGAAGUUUCAAUAUUUCCGUUCUUGCCACUUCUUUCUUCUUUGGAUUUAACCGGCAUUGGUGAUCAACAACGGGUUUAGCAUUAGGUUCCAUAUUAAUCUUGUGUUGACAUAGAGUGGGACUAACGCCCUUAAGAUCACCAAGAGUAUAUCUAAUAGCAACUCGGUGCUUCCUUAGAACUUUCAAUGAUCUUUCUUCUUCAUGUUCUGAAAGGUUAGCACUAAUAAUAAUAGGAUAUAUCUUUUUCUCAUCAAGAUAAGCAUAUUUCAAAGUGUCUGGCAAUUGUUUUAAUAAAAACACAGGAUCACCUUUAGGUGCAGGGGGGCCUCCUAGAGUUUCAAUGGGCAAAUUGUGUUUAAGUGGAGGUUGUUGUUCAAAAAAGAUUCUAUCUAUUUCAUUGCUUUCACGCAUAUGCAAAUUAUUUUCAUGGUCUAGCAAAUAUUGUUCUAAGGAUCAGUAGGGGGUGCAGCAAUAGAGACCAAUAAUUUCAUCCUUACUAGGCAAAUAUUUCUUAUGCGGUUGUCUACUAAACUUGGAAAAGUUAAAUUCAUGAGAUUCAUCACCAAAGCUAAAACCAACAGUUUGUUUCUUACAAUCUAUUUUGGCAUUGACGGUGUUAAAGAAAUGUCUACCAAAGAUAAUGGGACAAAAUUCAUCUUGUGGGGAGCCAAGAACAAGAAUAUCAGUGGGGUAUUUUAUCUUCCCACACAAGACUUUAACAUCUCUGAGAUUCCCAAUUGGUGAUAUAGUAUCUCUAUUGGCAAGUUUAAUAGUAACAUCUAUGUCUUCUAUUUCAGCAGGUGCUAUUUCAUUCUUAAUUUCUUCAUAUAAAGAAAAAGGAUUAGCACUCACACUAGCACCUAGGUCACAUAACCCAUGAUAACAGUGAUCUCCUAUCUUAAGGGAAACAAGAGGCAUGCCAACAACUGGUCUAUGUUUAUAUUUUUUUAUCUAAUUUGGCAAUUCUAGAAGCUUCAUCACAGAAGUAAAUAACAUGACCAUCGAUAUUAUCGACCAAGAGAUCUUUAAUAAUAGCAACACUAGGUUUAACUCUGAUUUGUUCAGCUGGUUUGGGUGUUCUAACAUAACUUUUGUUAACCAUAGUUGAAGCUUUAGUAUGUUCCUUCAUCCUAACAGGGAAAGGUGGUUUUUCAAUAUAAGCAGUGGGAACAACUCGAUCAACAUUGUAAAUGAUAGUUUCUUCUUUAGCUUUUACCAGUUCUUUAAUUUCUUCUUUAAUAGGUGGGUGAUAUUUAAACCACUUCUCCUUAGGGAGAUCAACAUGAGUAGCAAAAGAUACACAAAAUGAAACUACCAUCUCAGAAUCAAGUCCAUAUUUAGUGCUAAACUUUUGAAAAGCAUCGAUAUUCAUAAAAGAUUUAACAUAAUCAAACUUAGGUUCAAUAACUGACUCUUUACCUUCGUCGAGAUCCCAAUAUUUAGAGUUGCGUUGAAUUCUUUCUAAAAGAUCCCACCGGAAUUCAAUAGUCUUCUUCAUAAAAGAACUAGUACAAGAAGUAUCGGCAUGGAUUGAUCAUUACGAGAAAGCCGAGCAUAAAAUUCUGAAUAAUAAUUUCUCUUGAGAGCUCAUGACUGGGGAAUGAUAUAACACUGACUUAAGCCUCCCCCAAUCUAGAGCGAUACUUUCUCCUUCACGAGGCCAAAAAUUAUAUAUAUAAUUGUGAUCACGAUGAACUAGAUGCAUAGGAUAAAUUUUUUGAUGGAAUUCCAAUUUCAACCGAUUCCAGUCCAAGAUCUAAUAUCAUCGCAUAGCCUAUACCAUGUCAAUGAUUUUCCCUUCAAAUAUAAAGGGAAAAAAUUAUUAUUAGCUUCAUCUUCGGGUAAACCUGCAAGCUUAAACAAUCCACAAAUUUCAUCCACAUAUAUCAAGUGCAUAUCCGGAUGUUCGGUUCCAUCUCCUGCAUAAGGAUUAGCUAGCAGUUGUUCUACCAUACCAGAAGGAAUUUCAUAUUAAAUAUUUUUAGUAGGUGCAGUAGGUUGAGGGGAAACUAAUUCUGGUUCCGAUUGAGGUGAAGAUACCCCGAACAAACCCCUCAAAGGAUUUUUUCCAUAGUAGCAAGUAACAAUUAAUUUCAGCACGUAGUAAUAAUGUUUCCUUACCAAUUUCCACUUACCAAGAGCGCUUCAGUCCCCGGCAACAGCGCCAGAAAAUAGCCUUGAUGACCAACAAAUAUAUGGGGUCAAUUGUAGCCUUUUAGAUUAGUAAGAGUGUCGAACCCAACGAGGAGCAGACGGAAAUUACAAGUGGUUUUCAACAAGGUAAUGUUUGCAAGUGCUAAAAUUGUAAGUAGGAGAGUAGUUUAAUAGAAUGAUAAUUUGUAACAAGCAAGUAACGAUAGUAGUAACAAAAGUGCAGAAAGAUAACCCAAUCCCUUUGAGGCAAAGGACAUGCCAAAACGGUCUCUUAUGAUAAGCAAAGUGUUCUUGAGGGUACACAGGAAUUUCAUCUAGGCACUUUCAUCAUGUUGGCUUAAUUCGUGUUCGCUACUUUGAUAAUUUGGUAUGUGGGUCGACCGGUGCUUAGGUGCUGUUCUUACUUGAAAAAACCUCCUACUUAUGAUUAACCCUCUCACAAGCAUCCGAAACUACAACAAAAGUAUUAAGAAUAAAUUCUAACCAUAGCAUUAAACUUUUGGAUCCAAUCGGUCCCUUACGGAAUAGCGCAUAAACCAGGGUUUAAGCUUCUGUCACUCUCGCAACCCAUCAUCUAAUAACUACUGCACAAUGCAUUCCGUUAGGCCCAAAUAUGGUGAAGUGUCAUGUAGUCGACGUUCACAUGACACCACUAAGGGAAUCACAACAUAAAUAUCAUCAAAAUAUCAAACACAUAUCAAGUUUACAUGAUUACUUGCAACAUGAUUUCUCCCGUGACCUCAAGAACAAAAGUAACUAAUCACAAAUGAUAAUAAUGCUCAAGAUCAGAGGGGUAUUAAAUAGCAUAAUGGAUUUGAACAUAUAAGCUUCCACCAAAUAAACCAUAUAGUAAUCAACUACAAGAUGUAAUCAACACUACUAGUCACCCACAAGCACCAAUCUAUAGUUCCGGUACAAAGAUUGAACACAAGAAAUAAACUACGGUUUGAGAGGAGUUGGUGCUGUUGAAGAUGUUGAUGAAUAUAGCCUUCCCCAAGAUGGGAGAGUUGUUGGUGAUGAUGAUGACGAUGAUUUCGCCCUCCGGGAGGUAAUUUCCCCGACGGAAUCGCUCCGCCGGAGGGCAAAAGUGAUCCUGGCCAAGUUCCACCUCGAGGCGGCGGCGAUUCGUCCUGAAAGUCCUCUCCCUUUUUUCUAGGUCAAAAUGACUUAUAUACCAAAAGAGGGACACCGGAGGUGGGCCUGGGUGAGCACAACUCACCGAGGCGCACCUGGGCUCCCUGGCUCGCCCACCUGGGUUGUGCCCGCCUGGUGGGACCCCUCUGGUAGUUAUUUUCUCCAAUAUUCCUCAAAUAUUCCAUAAAAAUUUGUCGUAAAGUUUGAACUCAUUUGGAGUUUUGCAGAAUAGGUAGCUUGGCGUACCUUUUUCAGGUCCAAAUUUGUAGCUGCCAGAAUUCUUCCCCUUUGUGUAUACCUUGCAUAUUAUGAGAGAAAAGGGAUUAGAAUUACUCCAAAGAGCAUUAUUAUACAAUAAGACAACAUAAAUAACAGUACGAAAACAUGAUGCAAAAUGGACGUAUCACUAAGCGGUGGACUUAGUGGAGAUCGUGGUUAUCCUAUCGUGGGUAGUGGGCGUUGUUAGAGCGGUGACGGUUGAAAAAUUGAAGUUUGAAAAUUUUGAGGAUUUUGUAGCAAAGUCUUCAGCUGAUAAGGACUCGGUGAGGACUUUGAACAAGUGUCAAUUAGAACGCUUAUGAAGAAUUGAGAAUAGUUUUGGUUGAACUUAGCAUAGAGGGGAGACGGGUCCGAUCACAUUCACUUAGAUGAAAAACCAACUUGAAGACUUAGCAAUAAGUGAAUGCUGUUGAGGACAUUAAAAGCUCAUAUAUUUAUACAUAGUCAAUGAAGAUCAUCACAGAAUUUGUUUGAAGAAUUUGAAAUUUUUGAGGAUUUUGAAAUUUUUUGAAGACUUUGAAAAUUUGAAGUAUUUGCAAAAAGUAUUAGUCUUGAAGAAUUUCAACAUUGGUGGUGGCGUGACCCAGCAUAUAACAAUGAUGAUUUCACGCGUCGCGUACAAUUACCGUAGGUCCCUGAGAAUCAAAUUCUUCAUUAAUUUCUUUACACUUAGAGUGUUAUUCUUCAUUGAUUGAAGAAAACGUUACUUCAUGUGUUGCACAUCUAAGUCAUCAAUUUUGCAUAAGUGUUAGGAUGUGUGCCCUUUCAUAGAACAUUCGAAGAUUCUAGGAUAUUUAGCUCACACCGCAACUUGCAAAUCCUUUUCUUAUCCCAGGGCUUAGUGAAUAUAUCUGCUAGCUGGCCUUCAGUCUUCACAUAGUCGAUGACGAUGUUUCCUUUGAGUGCAUGAUCACAAAGAAAAUGAUGAGAAAUCUAGAUGUGCUUGGUAUUCGAGUGUUGUACAGGGCUGUAAGCAAUCUUGAUUACACUAUCAUUGUCGCAGUAAAGGGGCACAUUUUUCACAUUGAUGUCGUAGUCCUUGAGGUUUUUUUUCAUCCACAACAGUUGAGCACAGCAAGAUCCAACAACAAUGUAUUCAGCUUGAGUAGUGCAGAGUUAUACGCAGUUCUGCUUCUUUGAGGACCAACAAACUAAGGGUUGUCCGAGGAAAUGACAUGUUCCUGUUGUUGACUUGCGAUCCACACGGUCACCAGCAUAAUCAUAAUCACAAUAUCCAACGAGGUGAAGAUUUGAGCGCUUGGGGUACCACAAUCCAAGUGUUGGUGUGUGAUCUAGAUAUCGAAGAAUAUGUUUCAAAACCUUAUGGUGUGAUUCCUUCGGUUUUGCUUGGAAACAUGCACACAUGCAAACACUAAGCAUAAUUUUUGGCCUAGAUGCACAUAGGUACAAUAAAGAGCCAAUCAUAGAGCGAUAUACCUGCUUAUAGAAAUAUGUACCAUUUUUGUCACUCGAGAGGUGGUCAUUGGUAGGCAUGGGAAUUUUGACGCCUUUACAUGCAUUCAUGCCGUAUUUCUUCCGGACAUCCUUGAGGUAUUUCUCUUGAGAGAUGAAGAUGUCAUUGCAUUGUUGAUGAAUUUCAAGUCCUAGGAAGAAUUGCAGCUCCCCUAUCAUGGACAUUUUAUAUUCUUCACCCAUCAAGUAGGCAAAUUCAUCACUGUAACGUUUGUCAGUACAACCAGAGAUGAUAUCGUCCACAUAUAUUUGGCAUACAUAGAGUUCAUUAUCAUAGAAUUUUGUGAAAAGAGUGGGAUCGAGUGAACCAGGUUUGAAGCCUUUCAUUACUGAGAAUUCCUUCAAUGUAUCAUACCACGCCCAAGGGGCUUACUUGAGGCCAUAGAGUGCCUUUUUGAGUCUGAAUACUUUGUCUGGAUGCUUCGGGUCUUCAAAACCUGGAGGCUGAGCAACAUAUACUUCGUCCUCAAGCGUACCAUUGAGGAUUGCGCUUUUCACAUCUGUUUGAUAGAGUGUAAUAUUCUGAUGAUUAGCAUAAGCAAGCAGUAUACAAAUGACUUCAAGUCUAGCAACAGGUGCAAAAGUUUCAUUAAAGUCAAUUCCUUCAACCUGUGUGUAGCCUUCGACUACAAGUCGUGCCUUGUUCCUUACGACCUGACCAUCCUCAUCUUUCUUGUUUCGGUAGAUCCAAUUGGUGCCUACGACAUUGUGCUUGUGAGGAUCAAUCCUUUUGAUGAGUUCCCAGACGACAUUCAGCUUGAAUUGCAAAAGUUCAUCUUGCAUGGCUUGAAUCCACUCAAGAUCCAUGAAGGCUUCAUCAACUUUUGAGGGUUCUGUGAUAGACACAAAGGAGAAAUGCCCACAAAAGUUAAACAAAUGUGAAGCUCUUGAGUGAGUUAGGGGACGUGGUGCAUUGAUGUGAUCGAGGAUUUUGUCAAUUUCCACUUCAUUUGCAAUCCUCGGAUGCGUAGGUUGAAGACUUUGGUUGUGCUCAGAAAUUUGAUCUAGAGCAAUUUACUCCGGUGCACCCGCUUGAAUUUCACCAUUUUUGGGGACAAAUUCUGCAAUAGGAGGUUGUUCCUGAGUAGGGAUGAUAUCUUCAGUAGACUUGUGCUUAAUAGUUUACUUAGGAGUCAAUUUAUCUCGCAUAGUAGGCAGUUGCUCUCUUUGCAAACCAUUAGUUUGAUUGAACCACGCAUCUAUAGUUUCAACAACAUUGUUGUGAUAGGUAUUGAAGACUAUGUAGGUGUGCGAGUCCUUCCCGUAACCAAGCAUAAAACCCUCAUGUGCUUUUGAUGCAAACUUUGAGCUAUGGUGAGUAUCUCUAAUCCAGCAUCUUGCACCGAAGACUUUGAAAUAACUUACAUUGGGUUCCUUGUCACUGAGGAGUUCGUAUAAAGUUUUUUUGAGGAAUUUCUGAAGAUAUACCGUGUUGAUAAUGUGGCAAGCAGUGUUGGUUGCCUUAUGCUAGAAGCGACAAGGAGUGUGAUAUUUUUCAAGCAUAGUCUGUUCCAUUUCAACCAGAGUCAUGUUCUUGCGCUCAACAACGCCAUUCUGUUGAGGAGUAUAAGGAGCAGACAAUUUGUGAGUAAUACCAAGUUCAUGAAGAUAAUCAUCAAGGCGAGUAUUCUUGAAUUCUAUCCCAUUGUCACUCCUGAUGUGCUUGAUCUUGACGCCGAAGUUCAUCAAGGCCCUUGAGGAAAAUCGUUUGAAGACUUCCUGCACUUCAGUUUUGUAAAGAAUGAUAGCACCCAUGUAUCUGGUCAUCUUUCGAGACUCACAAGCCCUGCAAAGAUGGUCCUUCAGGAAUUUGGCGGUUUUGAUGCCGAUGACAUGCUUAUUCUUUGCUAGUGUGUGCAAUCUUCUCAAGCCAGCAUGACCAAAUCGUCGAUGCCAUAUCCACCCUUGUGAGGUUUUUGCUAGUAGACACGUGGCAAGUUGAGGACCUGCAGAGAAAUCAACAAUAUAAAAGUCUCCUCUUCUAAAGCCUUAGAAGACUUUGGAUUUGUCAGAUUCCAUGGUGACUACACAUCUAUAUUUUCCAAAUAUGACAAUCAUAUCAAGAUCAGAAAGCAUCAAGACUGACAUGAGGUUAAACCCAAGGGAUUCGACAAGCAUGACUUUGUCUAUGUGUAGGUCCUUAGAGAUAGCCACUUUAGCAAGUCCCAAAACCUUGAUUUUACCUUUGCCAGCGUAGGUGAUAUUGUCUAGUGGUGAAGGAGUCAGUGGGAUAUUCAUCAAUAGGCUUUUAUCACUAGUCAUCUGAUUUGUAUACCCACUGUCAAGAACCCACUCUGUGGUCUUGGGUUGGUCAUCCUACGGAUGAAUUAGUACUACUUACUAUUUCAAAUGCUUAAGAUUGAAGAAUAUGACAUCAAUUUCAUCAAACUUGAAUUUCAUCACAAAAUAUAUUCUAGACAUCAUGAGGACAUGUGCAAAGAUAGAUAAUGUCAUGAGUUUUUAGCUUAUGUCCUAUCAAGCAAUUGCCUCAGGUCUCCAACAAAUUCUUCAGAUGAUAACUUUCAUAUGGAGACAUGUCCUGCAGAAGUGAUUAGUUUGAUUUCUUCAUCACCCACAUAUGAAGGGGUGGUGAAGAGUUUAUCAUCCUGCGAGCACCAUAUGAGAAUUGAGGCAUUGAAGCUAAUGCACUUCAUUUAACGGGAAGGGGGUUAGAGUGCUCAAAUGAAUAGGCAGAUAAAUUAUUUGAGGACUUAUGAACAUCGUGAUUUGAUGAAUAGUGCACAUAUUCAUGUCCCUUGUAGUUAUGUUGCAUAUCAUAAGCAUUAGUGUGAGUACAAGCAUAGUUUUGACCAUUUGAGGAAACUGAUCCUCAUGAAGACUUUGGUGCACUGAGGAAUUUGAUCUAGGGUUCAUGUUCUUCACUACUGAUGUCAUGAGGACAUUCACCUGAAGACUUUCCAAGCUGCUUUUGGGGACCGAGAUUUUCUUCAGGGGUGGUCCAUUCGUGUAGUUAGUUCCAACAUAUCUAGCAAAUACUCCAACAGCUUGGUUUUUUCAACAGUUUAUAGUUGGAGUCAAAUGACUCAUCUGUGGAAUAACACAUUUCACAUGCAAAGCCUAUUAGGGUGCAUGGAUCAAUAGGAGGUCCUUUUGCAGCAACCCAUGAGGUUUUGGGGUAGUAAUCAGGUUUCCAUUAUGACCCAUCAACAUUCAGUUUCCUCUUAAAGGAAAUACCCUCUUUCCUCGGGUUACUUUUCAGAAUUUGCUUUUUGAGCACAUCGCAAAGGCUUCGAUGCCCUUUGAGGCUUUUGUAUAUGCCUGUCACAUACAAUUCGUUCAACCCUGCAUUUUCAUCAGUGACAUAUGUUGUUACCUCAGGUGAGGAAUUAGUUAUCACAUAAACAGUUGAAGAAUUUGUAGCGAUAGAACCAUUUGAAGUUUCAGGUGAAGAAUUAGCAGUUUCACGUUCGAUGCAUUUCGGACAUGGUGGAAUGAAUUCUUCCUAAGUGGUACUGAUCAGUUGAGCAAGCAAUGAAUCAUUUUUCAUUUGAAGAUCACCAUGGGACAUUUUCAGCUUCUCAAGAUCUAGAUUCAUUAGAAUAAAUUCAUAGGAAAGCUUCUCAUGAUCAGCCAAGAGUGUACCAUAACAUUCUUGAAGACCAUCCAAUCUAGACUGAAGACCUUGAACAUCUUCAAUGAGGAUUUGAGUAUGGUUCAUUUCAUCGCUGAGUAGGUCAUCGCUUUUGUCUAGCAGUUUCUGAAGCUUUUCAAUAGUAGUUUGUUGCUUAGUGGAAAUUUUAGCAAGUUCAUAGUAACUCGGUUUUUUAUAAUAUGAGGUUCAAAGUCACUAGAAUCAAAAGAGGACGUGUGGCUUGGUACCUUUGAACCUUUUGCCAUUAAGCAAUAGGUGGGAGCAAAUUCAUCAUCAUAGCCAUUAGUGUUGUUGACGUUGUCAUUAGGAUGUUGAAGAUGAACUUGUUGACGAAUGUGGUAGCAAGAGAUAGACUUGCCACACCAGACUCAAUUCCACUUCAGAACCUUCAUGUUCAUCACAUUCCUCACAUUCUUCUUCAGAAUCCAUCUCCUUGCCAAUAAGUGAUCGAGCCUUUAUGAAGCCGGUCUUCUUGUGUGAUGAGAACUUUGAGUAUGAGGACUUUGAAGAUUUAUUCUUUUUCUUUGAGUCAUCCGAACUGUCAUACUUAUAAUUCUUAUUCCUUGAUUCCUUCACCCAACGAGGACAAUAAGCAAUGUAGUGACCAGACUUCUUGCAUUAAUGGCAGGUUCUUUUCUUGUAGUCCUCAAGUGAAGAUUUUGAUAUUUAUCAUAUCUCUUCUUGAAGACUUUCUGAACUCGCCAUGCUUUGAGAACUUCUGGAAUUUCCUCAUGAGCAUAGCAAGUUCCUGACUACGUUCUUCAGGAUCACCAAGACUGCAAUCAGAGUCUUCUUCUUCAGAUGAGGAAACAACCUUUGCCUUCAACACAUGAGGUCAUGAAUAGCUUGGUCUAUAAAGGUAUCUCUUCUCUUCUUGUUGUAAUUCAUGAGUAUUGAGUCUCUCAAGUAUAUUAGCAGGAACAAGCAUCUUGUAAUCUGUUCGUUCUUGAAUCAUCACUACCAGUGUGUCAAAUGAUGGAUCAAGGGGUAGUAGCAGUUUCUUCACAACUUCAUGGUCUAUGAUGUCUCUGGCUCCAAGAGCCCGAACCUCAUUGGAGAUGUCAGUGAGGUGAUCAAAGGUAUUUUGGCAGCUUUCAUUAUCAUGUCUUUUGAAGCGGUUUAAGAUAUUGCAAAAAACAUCAACUCAAGAGUCACGCUGUGUGGAGACUCCUUCAUUGACUUUCGACAGCCUUUCCUUGAUAAGCUUCGUAAAGGCCAAUGCACUCACUCUGCCAUACUGACCUUUGCUCAGAUGGCUACAAAUGAUAUUCUUCACUUGAGAGUUGAGUUGCUUGAACCUCUUCACAUCAGCGACAGUGAUAGUUGAAGUGACAGAGGAAAUACCAUUUUCCACAAUAUACCAGAGAUCGUUGUCAAUUGCUUCAAGGUGCAGGGCGCAUCUUGUUCUUCCAGUAGGGGAAAUCCAUUCCAUCAAAGGUAGGACAUCCCGCAGUAACCUUGAUCAUACCUAUGGUCGACAUAACUAAAACUCCACGUGGUUAAACCAAAAUCACACAGAACAAGAGAGUACCUUGCUCUGAUACGAGUUGAAAGUACGUUAUAUCUACUAGAGGGGGGUGAAUAGGCGAUUUUUACAAAUUCAUCACUGAGAAAAUUACUAGUGAGGAAAGUCCUGAGUCAUGAACUAAAGUGUAGCGGAAUAAGUACUUAAAUAGAUAUGCAAAAGCGACUAUAGCUUAGUCCUCAUAGUGAGUUGAAGUGUUCGGUUUGCACAGGUCGCGUGAACAUGAUAAGUAGGUGAUGAAUAACUUAAGUGAAGAAUUUGAGGUGAGGAAUCCAGAGAAAGUCUUCAAUUAAAUUCUUCAAACAAUACACAUCAAAGUCAUCAACAUGCAAUUGAGGAAAUGGAAGAGUUGAAAAAAUAGAACCCAUAUUCUGUGAUAGCCCGAUGAAGACAAUGGUUUGAUGACCUAGUUCCAAGUGAUGUGACAGUCGUACGUCUGGAUUGGAGUGGCUUGGUAUUCAAUCCAAAGGAAACAUAGUCCCUACCAUAUUCUCCUUGAGAAAAGUACACAUAUUACUCGCCCAACACUCAUGAUAAGUCUUUGGGGAAGACUUCCAAACCCUCACAAACUCGGUCACCCGACGAUCCACGAUUGACUGCUGGAUGCUCUAGACCAUGAAGCCUAACCGUCUGGAGGAUCCAUAGUCCUCAAAGGUAACAAACGUCGGUUCCACAUAGGAACAAUUUCUUCAGUGAUGCUAAAUCACUUUGGGUUUCUGGGUUUUGGUUUGCGUGUUUGGUGUUAUUCCUCACUUGACAAUUUUCACUCAAAGUCCUCGAGGAUUGGGUUGCUCUAAAUGACAAGUGUCAGUUUCUCUUGGAGAAGGCAACCAUCUAGUGGUUGUGGGGGGGGGGCUAUUUAUAGCCUGGGAGCAUCCCGACAUGAUAUGACAUUAACGCCCCUAAUGAUAUGACCGUUGUGCGGAUAAGAUUGGGGACAGGUGGCGCGCGACGCGGCAACGGUCGGAUCUUUCAACUGUGAAAGUCCUCAUGUCUCUCAUAUUCCUCACUUGAUGGAUUUGGUAUAUGUAGGUUUGAGUUGAGCAUCAUGAGGAAAUAUUUCCUUAGUAUUACCUAAACCCCCUUUAACAAUACGGUGUUCCUAUGACUCAAGAAAUAAUAAAAUGAAACAGAGCAUUUUCUUCGAGAUACACCGAAUUCCUCAUCUUCAAUGUUUUUAUGCGGAAUAGCAGUUUCUCCGCUACCAAAGUCUUCAAGGAAUGACCAAACUCUUCACCCGAAGACAUACAUUUUUAGGGGUCGAUAUUCAUCGAAUAACUCAAACUCCCGAGCGACUUAUAGAGCUUGUGUACAUUCACAAUCAUAUUAGUUUCUUAACCUAUAAGUCUUCAAACCACAAAAAUCACUAAGGGGAACUAGAUGCACUUACAGACAUGCUACAGACCUAUCCCAGAAAUACGAGAUGGUUCUGGCGCGGUAGUAACAAGCGGUACUACCGCUUGCAGGGAGGUACUACAGCCCCGCACUACCACUCCAAAAAUUGCUCAGUCCGACAUGAAAAGUGUCGAGACCCACGGGCAGCGGCACUAGGUAGCAGAACUGGCCAGAGGAUAUCUCCCUCAGAGGGUACUACCGCAGCCAGGUAGUACCGCUCUAGGGAGUGGUACUACCGCUUGGAUGUUUCCACGCACAACACAAGCAACACAUGAAAAGCAUGAAUACAAGAACUUACAUAUCUUUCACAUACGAGCUCUGAAUUGAACAAACUCAAGCUUGUUGGAUUUAGGACGACAAGAGCUAUCCAACAGGACGACAAGCUUGUUGGUUAUAUUAAGAAGAGGGAGAAUAAAAUGCCAAUGAUGUAGAGAUGUGAAACCUCUAUGAGUGAAGAACCGACAAAAACUCCAACAUAAAAAACAUCAUAGUAGAUGCAUAUGGACUCCAUUUUCAAUGAAUUCGAGGUUGUCAUGAAGAUGACCAUAACCUCUAAACAAGAACCAAGAAAGAUGAUGCAAGGAUGCAAAUGGUUUGAGCUCUCAACGAACGAUACGAUCAAGAUACUCACUUUAGAUCCCCCCUUUAUAGUACGACAAUCUAUCCAGUAACCCAGUCUCCCAAUUACCACUGUGAGAUCGGUAAAAAGAAAACAUAUCAAGGGAAAACCUAUACCUUGCACGUAGUCCACUUGAGCUAGAUCAUGACGAUCUUGACUUCCUCAAGAUGGACCACCUUUCUUGAUUGUGUUGGCUCGAUGAAGACUAGUUGAUUAGCCCCCCAUACUCACUAUGGGUAAGCCACUCUUCAGGACAUCUGCACAAGUCCAUUUCCACCACAAUGGACGGCAAGCUUCAAGCAUGAUAUCUUCGUGAUGCUCCACUUGAACUUGCACCCCACAAUCUUGAUGACGAUCACCACUUCAUGUCAUCCUCCAUGGUUUGUAUGAGAUCUUCCUCUUGAUGCUUGCCCUUGGAAACACACCUAACCCCACAUAGAACUCUCAUGAUUACCAUGGGUUAGUAGACAAAGCGUGACGGACAAUGCUUACCAUACCAUGGUACCACUUUAUACCUCUCGGUACAUCUUGCGUGCUUUGUGUGUUGAUCAACUUGAUUCACUCUUUGACUUAGUCUUGAUCAACUUGUGUCUCUAUGACCAAUCUUUGCAUAAAACCUUGAGUACCACCUUGGUCAUCAUAUAAAAUCCUUGAAACCAACAUAUGGACUUCAAGAAGUUCCUAUGGGAAAAUCCUUCGAAUAUAACUCAAGGCAACCACUAGUCCACAGGGAUUGUCAUCAGUUACCAAAACCACAUAUGGAGAAAUAUGCUCUAACACUAUUCCCCCCGAGUCGCCUCACAAAUAUAUUCACAAAACUGAAAAUACAUUGCUGAUAUUAUUUACUUUCUUUUUAUUUUCAAUUUAUAUUUAUCAAACUAUCGAUCUAUCACUACUUAUCGCUUCCAAGUAAUGAGUUCAAGGGGAUUGACAACCCUCUUGCAUGCGUUGGGUGCAAGUGUGUGUUGUUUUGUGCGCAGAUGGCGAAGAUGGGAAAUUUUGUGGUCCUCCUAUUGGUUUGAUAACCUUGGUUCUCAUUGCGAAAAUACUUACCUCUACCAUGCUGCAUCAUGCUCUCCCCUUCGGAGAAAAUCCCAACGCAGUUUACAAGUAUCAUACGUAUCAAAUGUAUCGAUAAUUUCUGGAGUAUUCAUGCCAUAUUUACCUAUAUUUACAAUACUUUUAUAUGGCCUUGAUGCACUUUAUAUGAUUUAAUUGGAACUAACCCGGAACGACAUUGUUUUCAGCAGAAUUACCAUGGUGUUGUUUUGGUGCAGAAAAUACAAGUUCUCAGAAUCACCCGAAACUUUUUGUUGAUUUUUCUGGAACAAAUAAGAAAUACUGGAGUGAAAAACCACCAGAGGAGGGCCACCUAUUGGUACCAAGCCAACAGGGCGUGGCGACCCCCCUAGGGGUGCCCUUUUGGCUUGGGACUACCUCGUGGCUCCAUUUGACGUGAUUAUAAUGCUGAAAUAUCCUAUGUAUACAGAAAUCCUUAGAAAUAAACCUAAAACUUCCGCUCCACCACCAUAAGCCUCUGUGGUGAACAAAACUCAUUCGAAGCCCUCUUUCGACACCGUGCCAGAGGGGAAAAUCAUCACCGGAGGGCAGAUUCAUCAUACCGGUGGUGUCCAUGACAAGGAGGGAGUAUUUCACCCUCGCGACUAAGGUUAUGUACUAGUAGCUAUGUGUUUGAUCUCUAUCUCUCUCUUGUGGUCUUGAGAUGUCACGAUCUUGAUGUAUCACGGGCUUUGUUAAUAUAGUUGGAUUGAUGUGAUGAAUUGAAUCUCUCCCUUGAGAUUUUGUUUUGCUGGAUCGAAUACUUUGGAUUAGAUCACUUGAUGUAUCUCUUGCAUAUGGAUACACAUGGUGACAAUGGGGGUGUUCUAUUAAUUCAAUUGAUAUAUGUUUUGGUACUCAACUUGUGGAUUCCCAUGGUGACAAUGGGGUAAUUUAUGAAGAUGGGUCGAUAAACGUUCUUGUCCUACUUUUUACGAUGGAAUUCUGGGUAUUUUUUGAAGUUAUUUGUGUUGGAUUGAAUAUGAUGAAUCUGAAAUUGUUUGAUGAAUGUAAAAUAAUCAACCAACACAUACUUCGAGUGACAUUAGGGUUGAUUGUUGUGUAUCAUAGGUGUUAUUAUAGUACAAACUCUAGGGCUGUUUGUGAUACUUAUAGGAAUAGCUCAAUAGAUUUAUCGAAAAGAAUAGCUAUGAGGUGGUUCUGCGACCUACAACAAUUGCAUCUUAUGUUCUCUGCUACUUAUGCACUUUGGAGACAUCCUUUAUUGCACGUUGAGGGAUGAUCAUAUGAUUCUAUUAUGUUUGCAUCGUUGAGAGAAUGCAAUAGUGGAAGUAUGAACCCUAGGCCUUAAUUCUAAGCAUUGAAAUACCAUUUAUGAUCACUUUUACUACUUGUUACCUUGAUGCUUUUAUAUUUUCAUAGUAUAAAAACAUAUAUCUACUAUCCAUACUACAGUGGUAUCACAAUCUCUUCGCUAAACUAGUGCACUUAUACAAUUUACCAUUGUAUGGGGUGUGUUGGGGACACAAGAGAUUUCUUGUAUUUUAUUGCAGGGUUGUUUGAGAGAGACCACGUUCAUCCUACACCUCCCACGAAUUGAUAAACCUUAGGUCUUCCACUUGAGGGAAAUUUUCUAUUGUCCUACAAAAAUCUCUGCUUGGAGACCCAACAGAGUCUAUUAACUACUCAUUAAUCUUGACUUAUAUCUUUUUGAGUGUAGUUUGAUGUUCACUCUUGUGCUUCAGCAUAUCCUAAGAGUAAAUGUUGAAUGAAUGAAAAGGCAUAAAUGUGAAAUUAUAUAUGCUUCAUAUGCCUCUCCCAAGGGGUGUAAUAACUUCACACACUAGAAGCAUAAGCGGUAAAAUUUAUUAGAAAUUAGCAAACAUAGCAUUCGUCACUUGAACAACUCAUAAAAGAAUAUUGAAGGAAGAGAUAUGUCACAUAUAAAAAUACUAUCUUGGACAUCUUCUAUGAUUGUGAGCCCCCAUUAAUUAUUUUCAAACUUGAUCAAGUAGUUGAUGUUGUACAAGGAAGACAACGUAAUAGUGAUGUUAGUUUAUAUUCACAUAGAAGAUAUAUUGUCAUGGAUCCUCUAACUUGUGGUGCUUGCUACUUCAACAAAAGACCUUCCAAUGGCACCAGAAACGUGCUAACGGGCGACUGUUCUUGUCUUGAUACUCCUUAGCAAUGGCACCAGGAAUCCUUCUGUUACGGCUACGCCUUAAGGGACUUCCUAGGCAAAUAUGCAAAGGAUUUCCCCCGUGGCCUUGGAGCCUUGCGUUGGUGUCCCCUCGAAGCGGAAAGGGUGAUGUAGCACAGCGGUGGUAAGUAUUUCCCUCAGUUUGAGAACCAAGGUAUCGAUCCAGUGAAGGAAUAUCACAAGUGCCUGCACAAACACAAAAAAGCUUGCUCCAAACGCUAUGAAUGGGUUGUCAAUCCCUUAUAGAUUGUUCGCCAAGUGAUAAUUGAAAGCAACAAAGUAACAAAGCAAAGUAAAAGCGAAAGUGGAAACAAUAGGUGUGAAUAGACCCGGGGUCCGUAGUGUUUACUAGUGGCUUCUCUCAUGAAAGCAAGUAGACGGUGGGUGAACAAAUUACUGUCGAGAAAUUGAUAGAACCGCGCAAAGUCGUGACGUCAUCUAUGGCNNNNNNNNNNNNNNNNNNNNNNNNNNNNNNNNNNNNNNNNNNNNNNNNNNNNNNNNNNNNNNNNNNNNNNNNNNNNNNNNNNNNNNNNNNNNNNNNNNNNNNNNNNNNNNNNNNNNNNNNNNNNNNNNNNNNNNNNNNNNNNNNNNNNNNNNNNNNNNNNNNNNNNNNNNNNNNNNNNNNNNNNNNNNNNNNNNNNNNNNNNNNNNNNNNNNNNNNNNNNNNNNNNNNNNNNNNNNNNNNNNNNNNNNNNNNNNNNNNNNNNNNNNNNNNNNNNNNNNNNNNNNNNNNNNNNNNNNNNNNNNNNNNNNNNNNNNNNNNNNNNNNNNNNNNNNNNNNNNNNNNNNNNNNNNNNNNNNNNNNNNNNNNNNNNNNNNNNNNNNNNNNNNNNNNNNNNNNNNNNNNNNNGGGAAAGGUCACCACAUGGUAAGAACCCAAAACCAAGCACUUCUCCCAUUGCAAGAAUCAUAGAUCUAGUUGGCCAAACAAAACCCAAGACUCGCAGAGACUUACAAGGAUAUCAAAUCAUGGACAUAAGAAAUCAACAAAGACUCAAAUAUAUAUCAUAGAUAAUAUGAUCAGAAAUCCACAAUUCAUCGAAUCUCGACAAACACACCGCGAAAGAGGAUUACAUCGGAUAGACCUCCAUGAAGAUCAUGGAGAACUUUGUAUUGAAGAUCCAAGAGAGAGAAGAAGCCAUCUAGCUACUAACUAUGGACCCGUAGGUCUGAAGUGAACUACUCCCGAGUCAUUGGAGGGGCGAUGAUGUUGAUGUAGAAGCCCUCCAACUCCAAAGUCCCCUCCGGCAGGGCACCUGGAAGGGUCUCCAGAUGAGAUCUCGCGGAAACGGAAGCUUGCGGCGGCGGAAAAGUAUUUUCGUGGAUCCCCUGAUUUUUUCUGUAUUUUAGGGAAUAUAUAGGCGAAGGAGCUAGGUCAGGGGCGCGCCAGGGAGGCCACAAGCCUGCUAGCCGCCGCCCCUUGGUGGCGGCUACAGGGCUUGUGGGCUCCCUUUAGCUCUCCUAGCUAGGCCCACAAGCCCCCUGAUCUUCUUCCGUUCGGGAAAAAUUUAUUUCGGGGAUUUUAUUCCGUUUGGACUCCGUUCCAAAAUCACAUCUGAAAAGAGCCAAAAACACACAAAAAACAGGAAUUGGCACUUGGCACUGAAUUAAUAAGUUAGUCCCAAAAAAGAUAUAAAAGGUACAUAAAACAUCCAAAGAUGACAAGAUAACAACAUGAAACCAUCAAAAAUUAUAGAUACGUUUGAGACGUAUCAAGCAUCCCCAAGCUUAACUCCUGCUCGUCCUCGAGUAGGGAAGUGGUAAAGAAUGAAUUUUUGAUGCUUUCAUGCUACCUAGCAUAGAUGUCCUUUAUAACUCCUCUUAUGUGACGUGCAAGUUCAGAUCCAUUAGAUUCAAAACAAUAGUUUGCUAUUGACGUGGAAACAAUAAUACUUCAAGCAAACUAGCAAGGUAAUCAUGAACUUUGAAAAUAACAAGGCCAAAAGAAAGUUAUCCCUACAAAAGCAUAUAGUCUGGCUAUGCUCUAUCAUCAUUGCACAACGAAUUUAAAUCAUGCACAACCCCGGUAUUGGCCAAGUAAUUGUUUUCACACCAUUACUUUCUCAAACAUUUUCAACUCUCACGCAAUACAUGAGCGUGAGCCAUGGUUUUAGCACUAUAAGUGGUGUGGAGUGUGGUGGAGGUUGCAAGAAAAAUAAGGAGAAGAUAAUCACAUUAACUAGGCAUAUCAAUGAGCUGUGGAGAUGCUCAUCAAUAGAUAUCAAUGUGAAUGAGUAGGGAUUGCCAUACAAAUGAUGCACUAGAGCUAAGAGUAUGUGAAAGCUCUUAAACAAAACUAGUGGGUGUGCAUCCAACUUACUUGCUCACGAAGACCUAAGGCAAUUUUGAGGAAGCCUAUCAUUGGAAUAUACAAGCCAAGUUAUAUAAUGAAAAUUUCCCACUAGCUAUAUGGUGGUGACAAAACGAGAGACUCUCAAUCAUGAAAAUCAUGGUGCUUAAUAUGCACAAGUGUGGAAAGGUGGUAGCAUUGUCCCUUCUCUCUUUUUCUCUCAUUUUUUGGUGGGCUCUUUGGCCUCUUUUUUUUUGGUGGGCAUGUUUGGCCUCUUUUAUUUCCUCACAUGGGACAAUGCUCCAUCAAUGAUGAUCAUCACACUUUCAACUCAAAACUUAGAGCAACGAUAACUCUAUAUGGAAUGCCUUCGGUAGUGUACCGUGACAAUGAUCUAGCAUGGCAUGGACAUUAAUGGAAACAUCAUGCUAGCUAUCUUACGAUCAUGCAAUGGCAAUGUAGACGUGGUGGCACAUGUCAUGGUGGUAGUUGCAUGGCAAUAUAUCUCGGAAUGACUUUGAAAAAGCCAUAGUAGGUAGGUAUGGUGGCUGUUUUAAGGGAGGCUAAUGGUGGGUUUUGUGCACUGGCGAAAGUUGCACGACACUAAGAAGAUAGUGAUGGUGGAAGGUGAAAGUGCAUCUAAACCAAGGACUCAACAUUAGUCAUGAAGAACUCAUAUACUUGUUGCAAAAGUUUUAUUAGUAAUCGAAACAAAGCAUUCAACACAUACUCCUAGGGGAAGGGUUGGUAGGUGUAAACCAUCGCGCGAUCCCGACCGCCACGCAAAGGAUGACAAUCAAUAGACUAAUCAUGCUCAGAUUUCAUCACAUAGCGGUUCACCAUACGUGCAUGCUACAAGAAUCACUAACUUCAACACAAGUAUUUCUAGAUCCACAACACUUUACUAGCAUAACUUCAAUAUUACCAUAACCACAACUCAAAACUAAUUGAGAUGAAUCAAACUUCUCUAACUAUUCAAUGCACAUGAAGAUGGAACUUUUCGUAUCCCUUUGGAUAACUACCCCUUUUGAGACUACUUUCAAAGCAAAGAUCAACUACCAAGCCACGCACCGCCGCGCUCUAAAAGAUAUAAGUGAAGCACAUAGAGCAAAAGCAUCUAGCUCAAAAGAUAUAAGUGAAGCACAUGUGAGCUGAAUUGUCUACCAAAGGAUAUAAGUGAAGCUCGACAAAAUCACGGUGAGUGCAUGUCUCUCUCUCUAGGUGUGCAGCAAGGAUGGUUGUGACACAAAAAAAAUAAAAGACUCCUAUGAUACAAGACGCUCCAAGCAAAACACAUAACAUGUGGUGAAUAAAAAUAUAGCCCCAAGUAACGUUACCGAUGGAUUGAAGACGAGAGAAGGGAUGCCUUCCCGGGGCAUCCCCAAGCUUAGGAUUUUACAGCAUCCUUGAAUCUCUUGGGGUGCCUUGGGCAUCCCCAAGCUUGAGCUCUUGCCACUCUUUAUCUCUUUGUCCAUAAGAACUUCACCCAAAACUUGAAAACAUCACAACACGAAACUUAAACAGAAACUCGUGAUAACAUUAGUAUAAGAAAGCAAACCACCACUUCCUUAGGUACUGUAGCAAACUUAAAUUCUACUUAUGUUGAUGUUUGGUUACUGUAUUUUCAAUCUUCCAUGGCUAAUACCCCCCGAUACAAUCCAUAGUUUCAUCAAAAUAAGCAACCAACACAACAAAAACAGAAUCUGUUAACAGCAGACCAGUCUGUAGCAAUCUGUAUACUUCGUAUACUUCUGGUACUUCAACAAUUCUGAACAAUUACGACAGUAUGAAUAAUUUGCGUAGCAAUCAGCAGCAAAAAGAAUCUACUCAAAAGCUCUUACAAAGAAAAUGAAAAUUCUUUUCGUGAGCACAAAGUUUCUGUCUUUUCCAGCAUGACCAAAUGAUCAUCCCCAAGACUAAUCAUAACGGUUUUGCUUGGCACAAACACAAAAAGAAACACUAAAAACACAAUCAUAACAGAAUUAUGAAAGUGUGGAAAACACAAAACAGAAAGAAAAAGGAUAGAUUCGUUGGGUUGCCUCCCAGCAAGUGCUUUUGUUUAACGCCCUUAGCUAGGCAAAAGGUGAUGGAAUCACGUAUAGUCAUCUUUGGUGCUCAAACCAUAAGUAGCCCUCAUCAUAAAUUCAUAAGGCAAUAUUAUUUUAUUUCUAGGAAAGUGCUCCAUGCCCUUCUUUAAAGGAAAUUGAAAAUAUAAUAUUCUCUUCCUUCAUAUCGAUGAUAGCACCAAUAGUCCUUAGGAAAGGUCUACCAAGAAUAAUGGGUCAUGAAGGAUUGCAAUCUAUGUCAAAUACAAUGAAAUCCACGGGUACAUAGUUCUUAUUUGCAACAAUAAGAACAUCACCGAUCCUUCCCAUGGGUUUCUUGAUAGUAGAAUCCGCAAGAUGCAAAUUAAGAGAACACUCUUCAAUCUCAUGAAAACCAAGAAUAUCACAUAAAGACUUUGGAAUCACGGAAACACUAGCACCCAAAUCACACAAAGCAUUGCAGUCGUAGUUUUUGAUCUUGAUUUUGAUAGUAGGUUCCCACUCAUCAUGAAGUUUUCUAGGUAUAGAGACUUCUAAUUCGAGCUUCUCUUCAAGAGAUUUCAUCAUAGCAUCUACGAUAUGCACUGUAAAGGCUUUGCUUUGGCUAUAAGCAUGUGGAGAGUUUGCAAUGGAUUACAUCAAAGAAAUGCAUUCAAAUAAGGAGCAAUUAUCAUAAUUGAAUUCCUUGAAAUCCAAAGUGGGAUUUCAUUACUACCCAAAAUUUUGAUUUCUUCUUCUCCACUCUCCACACCUUUAUCAUCAAGAUGGGUGGACUCCGAAUCAUUGGGGAGUUUUUCAACAAAAGUGGAUUCAUAUCCAGCCCCUUCAUCAAUAGGUUUGACACGCGAAAACAAAGAUUCAAGAGGAGUCACGCCAAGCACUUUAAGAUCUUCGUGAUUUGCAUCACAAAUUUCAGGUUUAGCUGCCAUCUUAUUGACUAAGGUGGCCUUCUUGUCAGAAAUUUGACCCACCAAUUUUUCAAGGUGAGCAAGCUGAGAAUUAAGUGCAAGGAAAUCAUUGGACUUAUCAUCAACCUCUUUAUUCAAACAGACCAAAAAGGAAUUUUGCUCUUUUAAUUCCCUACCGAAGUAACUAUUUUGGUCAAACUGAGAAGACAUGAAACCUUUGACAUUAGUUUCAAUCUCCUCCAAUUUUCUGAAAUAGUUUGGUUUGGCCAUGAGGAAAGGUCUCUCACGAACAAGCCUAAGAGCAGGCGGGCGAAAGGGAACGGCAAAAAGGAAAAAAGAAAAAGAGAACGGCAAAGGAGAAAGGCAAAUGAAAACGGCAAAUGUGAAGUGGGGGAGAGGAAAACGAGAGGCAACUGGCAAAAAAGUAAAUGCAAGAGAUGCGUUUGUGAGACCUACUUGGAUAGAUCUCUCCUUCCCCGGCAAGGGCGCUAGAAAUACUUUUACUACUGCAACAAAAGACCUUCCAACACCGCCAGAAACGUGCUGACGGGAGACUGUUGUUGUCUUGAUACUCCUCAGCAAUGGCACCAGGAAUCCUUUUGUUACGGCUACGCCUUAAGGGACUUCCUAGGCAAAUAUGCAAAGGAUUUCCCCCGUGGCCUUGGAGCCUUGCGUUGGUGUUCCCUCGAAGCGGAAAGGGUGAUGUAGCACAGCGGUGGUAAGUAUUUCCCUCAGUUUGAGAACCAAGGUAUCGAUCCAGUGAAGGAGUAUCACAAGUGCCUGCACAAACACAAAAAAGCUUGCUCCCAACGCUAUGAAUGGGUUGUCAAUCCCUUAUAGAUUGUUCGCCAAGUGAUAAUUGAAAGCAAAAAAGUAACAAAGCAAAGUAAAACGAAAGUGGAAACGAUAGGUGUGUAUAGACCCGGGGUCCGUAGUGUUUACUAGUGGCUUCUCUCAUGAAAGCAAGUAGACGGUGGGUGAACAAAUUACUGUCGAGAAAUUGAUAGAACUGCGCAAAGUCAUGACGUCAUCUAUGGCAAUGAUUAUAUCUAUAGGCAUCACGUCCAAAACAAGUAGACCGAUACUUUCUGCAUGCUACUAUUACUCCACAUGUCGACCGCUAUCCAGCAUGCAUCUAGUGUAUUAAGUCCAAAAGAAUAGAGUAACACCUUAAGCAAGAUGAUAUGAUGUAGAUGGACAAUCUCAUAUCUAUGACAAAGCCCACCUUGUAACCCUUGAUGGCAACUACACGAUAUGUGCCUUUCUGCCCCUACUGUCACUGGGAAAGGUCACCACACGGUAAGAACCCAAAACCAAGCACUUCUCCCAUUGCAAGAAUCAUAGAUCUAGUUGGCCAAACAAAACCCAAGACUCGCAGACACUUACAAGGAUAUCAAAUCAUGCACAUAAGAAAUCAGCAAAGACUCAAAUAUAUAUCAUAGAUAAUCUGAUCAGAAAUCCACANNNNNNNNNNNNNNNNNNNNNNNNNNNNNNNNNNNNNNNNNNNNNNNNNNNNNNNNNNNNNNNNNNNNNNNNNNNNNNNNNNNNNNNNNNNNNNNNNNNNNNNNNNNNNNNNNNNNNNNNNNNNNNNNNNNNNNNNNNNNNNNNNNNNNNNNNNNNNNNNNNNNNNNNNNNNNNNNNNNNNNNNNNNNNNNNNNNNNNNNNNNNNNNNNNNNNNNNNNNNNNNNNNNNNNNNNNNNNNNNNNNNNNNNNNNNNNNNNNNNNNNNNNNNNNNNNNNNNNNNNNNNNNNNNNNNNNNNNNNNNNNNNNNNNNNNNNNNNNNNNNNNNNNNNNNNNNNNNNNNNNNNNNNNNNNNNNNNNNNNNNNNNNNNNNNNNNNNNNNNNNNNNNNNNNNNNNNNNNNNNNNNNNNAUCUAGCUACUAACUACGGACCCGAAGGUCUGAAGUCAACUACUCACCAGUGAUUGGAGGGGCGAUGAUGUUGAUGUAGAAGCCCUCCAACUCCAAAGUCCCCUUCGACAGGGCACUAAGAAGGGUCUCCAGAUGAGAUCUCGCGGAAACGGAAGCUUGCGGCGGUGAAAAAGUUUUUUCGUGGAUCCCCUGAUUUUUUCUGUAUUUUAGGGAAUAUAUAGGCGAAGGAGCUAGGUCAGGGGGGCGCGAGGGAGGCCACAAGCCUGCUAGCUGCCGCCCCCUGGUGGCGGCUACAGGCUUGUGGGAUCCCUGUAGCUCUCCUGGCUUGGCCCACAAGCCCCGUGAUCUUCUUCCGUUCGGGAAAAAAUUAUUUUGGGGAUUUUAUUCUGUUUGGACUCCGUUCCAAAAUCAGACCUGAAAAGAGCCAAAAACACAGAAAAAACAGGAACUGGCACUUGGCACUGAAUUAAUAACUUUGUCCCAAAAAAAUAUAAAAGGUACAUAAAACAUCCAAAGAUGACAAGAUAACAGCAUGAAACCAUCAAAAAUUAUAGAUACAUUUGAGACGUAUCAGUGCUUGCUUAUGAUCUUUUGCUAGCCCAACAUUUAUACUGACUAGAUAUAAUGCUUGUGAACCGAAAAACACUUAAACCUAGUUUCUUGCCAUAAGAGUCCACCAUAUCUACCUAUGGAUUGAAUAAGAUCCUUCAAGUAGGUUGUCAUCACUUCAAAAAGCAAUAAAAAUUGCUCCUAAAUAUGUAUGAUCUUGUAUUGGAAGGGAAAAUAAUAUUUGUACGAAAUAAAAGCGAUGGACUGCAUAAUAAAGGUUGCUAUCACAAGGGGCAAUAUAAAGUGACGCUCCUUUCCAUUAAGAGUUUACACAUCCAAAAAUUAAAAAGCGCAUGACAACCUUUGCUUCCCUCUGUGAAGAGCCUAUCUUUUACUUUUCAAUAUUUACUUUUAUGCAACAAUCAAUAAUGUUUACCCCUAUUCCAAUAUAUUAAUUCUUUAAUUGGCAAGCAUCAUGUGGUAGGGAAAGAUCUAUGCAUAUAUAUCCAUUUGAAUAUAGAUGAUCAUGAUUCAUCAGUGUUGACCAUAUCCCUGAGAUAAUAAAUGAAUUGGGAGGUGACACAUUAAGCCCCGAUAUUCCUGUUUGUUUGACUUAAACUGUUUGUUCUAAAACUAUGCAUUAAUUUCAACAAUCAUGGAAGACUAAGUGAUAGUUGAGUAUGUGGAAUUUUCUAAAUCAAAGCUAGUUCAUAGACCCUUCCUGAAAAUAAGAUGAUUUGUAAUUGUUUGAUGACUGAGAACAUAGUUUGUUGGUUUUCAAGAAUGUUUAUGGUCUAUUCUUUCAAAUAUGCAUAGCUUGCUACUUUAUUAUGAGAAGUUUUAUGAGAAAAUAUUUGUUUUUAUGAUGCUAGAAAAAGUGAUUGGAUCAAACUUAUAUACUAAGCUAGCAUUCACACUUCAUAAAUUACUUCUUUUAUCAUUUACCUACUCAAGGACGGGUAGGAAUUAAGUUUGGGGAUGAUGAUAUGUCUCCAAUGUAUGGAUAUUUUAUGAAGUAUUCAUUCCAUAUUUAUCUAUGUUUAUAUUACUUUUAUAUGGUUCUGAUGCAUGUUAUAUGGUUUAAUUAGAACAAACCGGACUGACGUUGUUUUCAACAGAAUUACGGUGGUGUUAAUUUUGUGCAGAAAAUAGAAGUUCUCGGAAUCGCAUGAAACUUUUUUGGUGUUUUUUGUAGAACAAAUAAGAAAUACUGGAGCCAAAAACCAGUCGAGGAGGGCCAACUAUUUGUGCCAAGCCAACUGGGUGUGUCAUGUUGGCUUGGGACCAUCUCGUGGCUUCGUUUGACGGGAUUAUAAUGCUGAAAAGUCAUAUAUAUACAGAAACCAUUAGAAAUAAACCUAGAACUUUCGUUCCAUUGCCAGAAGCCUCCAUAUCAAAGAAAACUCAUCCGGAACCCUGUUCCGGCACCCUACCAAAGGGGAAAUCAUCACCAGAGGCAUUCUUGAUCAUCCUGGUGGUGUCCAUGACGAGGAGGGAGUAGUUCACCCUUAGGGCUAUGGGUAUGUACCCGCAACUAUGUUGGAUUGAAUACUUUGGAUUAGAUCACUUGAUCUAUGUCUUGCAUGUGGAUACCUAUGGUGACAAUGGGUUGAUCUAUUGAUUCACUUGAUAUAUGUUUUGGUACUCAACUUGCGGAUUCUCGUGGUAACAACGGGGUAAUCUAUCCUAAUGGGUUGAUAAACGUUCUUGUCCUACUUCCUCUCAUAGAAAUCUUGGGGUACUCUUUGAAGUUCUUUGUGUUGGAUUGAAUAUGAUGAAUCUGAAAUUGUUUGAUGCGUGUCGAAUAAUUAACCCACAUAUAAUUCAUGUGACAUUGGAGUAUCUAGGUGACAAUAGGGUUGAUUGAUAUGUAUCAUCCGUGGUGUUCUAGUACGAACUCCAGGAUUCUUUGUGACACUUAUAGGAAUAGCUUAAUAGAUUGAUAAAAAAGAAUAGCUUUGAGGUGGUUCUACUACCUACAACAAUAUAAUAUUAUGUUCUUAGCUACUUACAAACUUUGGAGUGAUUCUUUGUUGCACAUUGAGGGAUGAUCAUAUGAAUCUAUUACGUUAGAAUUUUUUAGAGACUGCACUAGUUAAAGUAUGAACCCUACGCCUUAUUUCUAAGCAUUGCAAUACAGUUUGUGCUCACUUUAACUACAUGUUACCUUGCUUUUUUAUAUUUUCAUAUUACAAAAACCUAUAUCUAUUAUCCAUAAUACAGUUGUAUCACCAUCCCUUCGCCGAAUUAGUGCACCUAUAGAAUUUACCAUUGUAUUUGGUGCAUUGAGGACACAGGAGAUUUCUUGUAUUUGAUUGCACGGUUGUUUGAGAGAGACCAUCUUCAUCCUACACCUCCCAAAGAUUCAUAAACCUUAGGUCAUUCACUUGAGGGAAAAUUGCUACUGUCCAACAAAUCCUUGCUCUUGGAGGCCCAACAGAGCCUACAAGAAUAAAGUUGUGUAGUAGACAUCGGUUUUUGUGCAGGGAAGGGAAGAGGGGAAGCGGGGGCUUCCCUGCUGUUCGCACCUGUGAGGUUGCCCAUUGGGGCUCUCGGGCGACCGACAUGCGUGCGAAGGUGAGAAGGAGGUACAUAUGGGAUGGGGCGGCAUGUUGGUGCCUUGUGCACAUCGAGGAGCACUCACAGGCAUGUGGGCGCCUCCCAAGGUGGUUAGGGUUGGGGUCACGGUGUGGCUAAAGUGCCAGAGUGCACUGUAGCAUGCUCCAGAGCAUUCAUAUGGCUGGCAUUGACUUCUCUCGCGUUCUAUGGCAUGUCCUGUUGUGCCCGAGGUAUUUUAGGGAUGCCCUGGCUGGUAUAGGAGUUAAGCAAAAAGGGUGGAGUAAAAGAAUGUGGGGUGGGCUGCAGAGAGAGAGAGAGAGGCAAACAUGUGUCUAGAUAAGAAAAUAAGGGGGUUACCCCCUUCAAUGAUUGUUCCUUGGCUAGGGAAAUUUACUCAGGAGGUAGAUGUGGACAAGUAGGAGUUGUGGUAACAAUUUGAGAUCGAGGAGACUAAAGGAACUGAGGCAAAUAGUAACUUUGGAUAAUCAGCAGAACGUGUUUCAUGUAGCUUUUAGCUAUGUAAGUUUGUAUCCUAUCCUUGAGAUUUAAUAGGAUUGAGAAUUAGGAUCAAAUGUAUAUGUCUACAAAUUUGUAGCUCACUUUAAGAAAGUGACUAGUGCAACUUUGGCAAACCCUAGAAAUAAACACAAACAUAUUUGGACUAAUCUAGCUAAGCCAUGCUUUUCUUCUUGACGCACCACUUGGUGUGGAUGCUUGAUUAGAGUAUUAGAACACGUCCAAAAAAUUAGGCUUCAUUCUUGACACUUAGUAGUGUAAACUUGUUAAAAAAUAGAUCUGGAAAUAGAGGGUUUUGGGGGACUUUGGUGAACCAAAAUUAUUUGGAUUGAGCUCAAAUUUGGUAAGAUCAUCAUAUGAGGCAUAUUUCACUUGUUGGAAUUUUCCUGGAUUUAUUUGGCAAUAUUUAUUGUGGAAAAAUAUUUCAAAUACUUGAAAUAUGCAGAAAGAGUUUUGGAUGGUUUUGUCCAAUAUUUUGAACAUUACCAUGUAUUGAAACUCGUAUAUAUGAAAAAUAUAGGUCCACCAGGUUUCCCUAAAUUUUCUCAAAUAUUUUUUCUCAAUGAAAGACAAUUUCCAACCUCAGAAAAAGGUAUAUAAAUAAUAUACAAACAUAACUUUGAAAAUAAUAUUUUUCUUGUUUUGGGAAGUUUGAUAUAUAAUAGUUCCAAAUAAAAUCUUUGGGGAAAAGCAUUUACCCUAAUUUGAGUACUUGUAGUACAAACCUCAAUUCAUGGUUUUUUGAAAACCUAAAUCAAAUAAAUACUUUUCAGCCAAAAUAUUGUUCUUAAAAAUAGUUGUAUGUCAUAUACAAAUUGCAUAAUCAUAGUUCAAAGUUUUGGAUCAAGGACAUGAGUUUUGAGAAUGGGAGGAUUUUUGUGAAUAAAAGCACAUACAAGCAAACAAGAAGAUGGAAAAUCAUUCAAGCAUCACAUGCACACAAAACAUUUUUGUUGGUCCAAACUUUUAAGCUUCAUUAACAUAGUGAUGUGAUACAAAACACACGGUGUAACAUCACCAAACUUUUAUUUACUUACAACUCGAUAUUGUAAUAAAGCUAUACAAGACGACUCUAUAUGAAUGCCGCUAGCAGUGUACCAGGAUGUGCCUGUUCAGGAACAAACCAUGGAAAAUAGUAAAUUUCGUACGGACACCCAAGAUCUUCCUAUGGAGAUGCAUAAGAACGAGAGGGAAGAGUGUGUUUGCGUACCCUCAGUGACCACUAAGGGGAAGUGUAUAUUACGCGGUUCAUUUAGUCAUACUAUUCAUGAUCCAAUCACGAUCCACCACCUCUCGGGUUAGCACAUGUGGGGCUCGAUGUCGUCUCAGUCUCCUUGAUCCAGUAAGCGAGGGCGGAGAAGUAGAUGGGAUCUUGAUAAUCUCCAAGUGCAAGGAAUAGUCGUAGCAAUUUCCAAAGAUGGAAGUGGUAAGUAUGGAGUGUCGAACCCACAAGGAGCUAAAGGUAAGAUCAAUAUUCUCUCAAGUCCUAUCUGCCACCUAUACAACUCCACAUACACUGAGUGUUUGCUUCUCUCUAGUAACGAGGAAUAAAACCGAGUUGUGGGUAUAGAAAGGAUAGAUUUGCAUGGUAUUUGAGAACUAAAAUAUGAAAAAUAAUUGCUGCACUAAAUAGAGUUAGAAUAUAUCACAAUAUAUUACAAAUAACGAGUCUGGAAUAAUGAUGGUAUGGUCUGCGAAACCAUCCUAGGCAAUUUAUAACAAGUUCGUUAAUCAUUCUUGCAAUUUUAUAUGAGUAAGAGGCAUGAGCUAUCAUACUUUGUGUACUUGGAUUAUGUGAACUUAUGAUUAGAUCUCUAGAAAGCAUCCGCAACUACUAGAAAUCAUUAUGGUAAACCCAACCAUAGCAUUAAACAUCGAGUCCCCUUUACCCCCAUACGCAAACAACUCCCUUACUCGGGUGUAAGCUUCUGUCACUCUAGCCACCCACUAUAGGAGAAUCAUGAACAUAUUGAAAACCCUACAACAAGAAUUCCUUCACGUUUGAUUGGCACGAAAGGCACCAUAAGACAACACCAAAAUAAUACAUACACUCAAAUCAAUCAAGAUCAUCAAUCAACCCAAAGGACAACAUAAAUCUACUCAAACAUCAUAAGAUGGCAACACAUCAUUGAUUAAUAAUAUGUGACAUGAAACACCAUGUUCAAGUAGGGGAUUACAGUGGGGUAUGUGAGAGUGGACCACCAUAGAUAGAUGAGGGGAGGUAAUGGAGACGGUGAUGUUGAUGAAGACGAUCACCGCGGCGAUGGUUCCCCCGUUGGCACUCUGGCGCCACCUCCUCCAUGGCCUCUCCCUGGAUGGGGAGAGGUUCUACCCUAGGUCCUUGGCCUCCAUGGAUCCCGAAGGGGAAAAAUCCCCUCUGAGAUUGGAUCUCUCUCUAUCUCCCUCCCUCCCCCCUCCCUCCCUCCCUCUCUCUCUCCUAUUUUGGCUCCUGUUAUCUGGCCCUUCACCGUUUCUUAAAUAUCCGGAGUUCUGUAACUCCGAUCAGGUUGAAAUUUUGGGGGUAUUUUUAUCAGAAAAAUAUCUGUCCUCGGCAAAAUAAGGGCCCCAACUAACUUAAGGGGGAGGCACAAGAUAUUAGGGCAUGAACAACCCCCUGUCCAUCCAUGUUGGCUUGUGCCUCCCUCGGGCACCGUGUUGUGUUGAUUCUUCUUCCCAAAAUUCACAUAUAUUCCAAAAAAAUAUCCGGAAAUUUUCAUCGCGUUUGGAUUUUGUUUGACAUGGAAUUUCUGCAAAACAAAAAAUACAAAAAAAUAGGAACUGCCACUAGGCACUGGGUAAGUAAGUUAGUCCCAUAAAUUAAUACAAAAUGUUGCCAAAAGUAUAUGAAAGAUGUAAAAUAUUGACAUGAAUACUUCAUAAAUUAUUGAUACGUUGGAGACAUAUCAGCAUCCCCAAGCUGAAUUCCUGCUCGUCCUCGAGUAGGUUAAUGAUAAAAGAAAUAAUUUAUGAAGUGUGAAUGCUAGCGUAGUAUAUAAGUUUAAUCAAUGUUACUUCCAAUCACGUUUCCUAGCAUCAUAAAACAACAACUAUUUUCUCAUAGAACUUCUCAUAAUCAAGUAACAAGCUAUUAACAUGUUAAAGCAUUCACCAUAAAAAUUCUUGAAAACUAGCAAACUAUGUUUUCAGUCAUGAAACAAUUACAAUUCAUCUUAUUUUCAUGAAGGGUCUAUGUAAGAGCUUUGAUUUAGCAAAUUCCACAUACUCAACUAUCAUUUAGUCUUCCAUGAUUGCUAACACUCAAGGCAUAUUUUAGAACAAGCAGUUUUAAUCAAACACAUAGGAAGAUAGGGGCUUCAGGUUCCGCCUCCCAACUUAUUUCUCUCAGGUAUAACUUCAACAAUAAUGAAUCAUGAUUACCUAUAUCCAACUGGAUAUAUGUGCGUGGAUGUUUUCCCACCACAUGAUGCUUGCCAACUAAAGAAUUAAUAGAUUGGAAUAGGGUUGAACAUUAUUGACUCUUGCAUAAAAGUAAAAAUACAAAAGUAAGAGAUAAACCCUUCGUAGAGGGAUGUAGAGGUUCUCAUGUGUUUUUUAUUUUCCGAUGUGCAAACUCUUAAUGAAAAGGAAGGUCACUUUAUAUUCCCCUUAUGAUAGCAAACUUUAUUCUGCAGUCCCUCACUUUUAUUUUUUCCCACCACAAGAUAGUACAAAGAUUAUUUUCCCUUAAAAUAAAUACCAUACAUGUUUAGGAGCAAUUUUAUGUCCUUUGUACACCGAUGACAAUUUAAAUUAAGGACCUUAUUUAAUCCAUAGGUUUGUAUGGUGGACUCUUAUGGCAAGAAACCAUGUUUAAGGGUUAUGGAUGCACAAGUAAUAUCUCUACCUAGUGCGACCAAAAGAUCCUAAGAAAGCACCACACAUUAGAGGAUCCAUGACAACAUAACUAAUAUGUGAAUAUAAGCAAACAUAACCAUUACGUUGUCUUCCUUGUCCAACAUCAACUAUUUAAUCAAGUUUGAAAAUAAUUUAUCGGGGUUCAAAAUCAUAGAAGAUGUCCAAGAUAGAAUAUUUAUGUGUGAAAUGUCUCUUCCUUCACUAUUCUUUCAUGAAUUAUUCAAGUGACCAAUGUGAUGUUUGCUAACCUCCAAUAAGUAUUAUUGCCUAUACUCUUAGUAUAUGAAGUCACUACUCCCCAUGAGACAAGCAUAUGAAGCAUAAAAAUUUCAAGUUUUAUGACAUUCAAUUCAUUCAACAUUUUCUCUUAGGAUAUAAGUGAACCACAAGACUGAUCAUCAAACUACUCUCAACAUGAUAUAAGUGAAUUUCAUAGAGCAUUGUUCAAUAAAAUAGGGAGACCAAUAUACAAGCUUAAAAUAUAUAUGUGAAGCACGUAAAUCAUUCUAUAAAUCAAUAGUCACAAGAUUUAAGUGAAGCACGUGAAGCAUUCCAUAAAUCAACCAAGGAUUAUCUAUACAAGCAUGGUGCAUAAAAUAAAAAGAAAGUAGUAAACACAAAAUAUGCUCCAAGAAUAGCACAUGUGAACGAAUGAAAACUUAGGAUCAACAUUAGCUAACCGAUGAUUGUUGACAAAGAGAGGUGGGGUGUGUAGCAUCCACAAGCUUAGAUGCUUGAAAAUGCUUGUAAUAUUUAAUUGGGAUAACUUGGGCAUACCCAAGCUUGUGCUUUUGUAUCCCUUUCAAUCCUCUCAUAUCCCGGUUUCACCUAAGUCUGAAAAACAUCAUCCACACAAAACUUGAAAAGAACUGGUGAGACAAGUUGCAUAAUAAUUUUCAAACAUUAGGUACUAUAUACUAUCAUUUCCACAAUUUAUAUGUACCAAUAUAAGCCAUGAAAACUUAAGGAUAAGUAGAUAACAAAACUAUGACACCAAUCUGUCCAAACAGAAUAGUCUAUAGUAAUUUAUUUAGAAAGUGUACUAAUGUAUCUCCCAAAAUUCUAACAAUUUACGACAAGUUAAAGAAUUUGUAUGAAAGUACUGUAUAAAAAUUUCAAAAACUUUCAUUGUACCAGUAAAAUCUCAUAAUUCAAAUACUACAUCAAAAGUUUUUGUUUUUAUAUAGCACACCUCACACAUGCAAUUCAAGCAUUCUAAAGGCAAUUCUUGGAAAUUUUUAUUAAAAAACAAGAUUAUAACUAACAUAAAGCAGAUACUGACAAAACAAAAGGACUAUCCAAGAAAAACACAUAUUAUUCGAUGAAUAAAAAUAUAUCUCCAAGUAAGAUAUACCAAUAGUGUUGAAGACGAAAGAGGGGAUGCCUUCCGGGGCUUCCCCAAGCUUAGAUGCUUGAGACUUCCUUGGAUAUUACCUUCAGGGUGCCAUUGGCAUACCCAAGCUUAGGGUCUUGACUCUUCAUAGAAUCCUCAUAUUGGUAUGUCACCCAAAACUUGAAAACUCCAAUCACACAAAACUUAAGAGAAACCUCAUGACAUCCGUUAGUAUAAUAGGCAAAUCAUAAACUUAGGUAUUGUUAUAAAUUGAUCUAUAUUUAAUUAUUGCACAAGGUACUUUAUUCUAACUUCUCAAUGGCUUAUACAACCUCGAUACAAUCCAUAGGGUUAUCAAAACAAGCAAAUUGUGCAAGCAAAAUCAGAAUCUCUGUAAAAUAGAAUAGUCUAUAAUGAUCGACACAAAUACCAAACUUAUGUAACUCAAACAAUUCUAAAAAAUCGAAGGACCUCGGAAAUUUUUAUAUUAAUGGUUUGUAAAAACAUCAGAUCAAAAAUACGUUCUAGUAAAAUCAUAGAAAUUCUGCACUAGACAUCAAAGUUUUUGUUUUUGCACUCUAUCAAUUCUACUUAUCAUCCAAAUCAUCCUAAAGGCUUUACUUGGCACAUUAUUGAACUACAAGACACAAAACAAGAUUACUACAAUACCUUAAUCAUGUGAACACACAAAAACAUAAAGGAUAAGUGUUCGGUCAUCUCCCAACCAGCGCUUUUCUUUAAAUACUUUUAGCUAGGCAUGAUAAUUUCAAUGAUGCUCAUAUAGGGAUAAUUGAUGAAAUAUACAAAAGCGCAUCAUGAAUAUUAUGGGAAGCACAUUAUUUUGAUGGUAAAGUGGUAUAUACAAGGCGAUAAUUAUUUUUGUGAUAAACUUCCAUGAAAAAUUAUAUAUUGUUUCCAUGAGCAUGAACACAAGUGUUCAAGAUCGACCCUCACUUCUUCAAUGCAUAAUUGUCCAGUCGCUUCUCUUUUAUGAGGCAAGUAAUUUUUUGUGGUUUUAAUUUUGCAUUUUUUGCUUGUUUGUUUAAUCCGCAAAUAAAUAAAUAAAAUAAUAAAACAAAAACAAAACAAAAAGGAAAGGUACUUAGUGAUAGAAUAAUACAAGCAUACACGAAAAUAUCGACCCCACACUAUUGCUCCCUAGCAACGGCACCAAAAAAGAGCUUGAUGAUCCCCAAGCGCAAGGAAUCAUCAUAACUAUUUCCAAAGAUGUAAAUGGUAAGUAUGGAGUGCCAAACCCACAAGAAGAUAAAUGUAAGAUCAAUAUUCUCCCAAGUCCUAUCUGUCACCGAUACGACUCUAUAUACAUCAAUCGUUUGCCUCUAUCUAGUAACGAGAAAUAAAACCGGCCGUGAAUGCAUUAUUUCAACUUGCAAGAGAUGUAUGUCAAGGGUUAUUUCAACUUAGUGAAAUUCACUUCAAGAGAAUGCAUUAUUUCAAUGAUGACAUUUGAAUUGAUUGGCAGUAUAUCAUGAUGAGUUUUAUGAGAAAGAGUUGUUGAUUAUGAUGCUAGAAAAGUGAUUGAAAUUAUCAUUGAUCAAAAUUAUUCACUAUGCUAGCAUUAAAAGUUUGUAAAAUACUUGUUUUAGCAUUUACCUACUCGAGAAAGAGUAGGAAUUAAGCUUGCCGUUGCUGAUGUCUCUCGAACGUAUCGAUAAUUUAUGAAGUAUUCAUGAUAUAUUUACACAUGUUUAUAGUAUUUGUAUAUGGUUUUGAUGCACUUUAUAUGAUUUAAUUGGAACUAACCCGGACUAACGUUGUUUUGAGCAAAAUUGUAGUGAUGUUGUUUUUCUGUAGAAAAUAAAAGUUCUCAGAACUGUCAGAAACUAUUUGACGAUUUGUUCGGGAACAUAUAAGAAAUACUAGAGCAAACAACCACCGGAGGGGGGCCACCUGGUGCCCCCAAGGUAAAAUGGCGUUGCCAGCCCCUAGGGCACACCCAAUUUCCUUGGGACCCCACCUUGUGGCUCCAUGUCACGUGAUUCCAAUGCUGAAAAAUCCUAUAAAUAGAUAAACCCUUAGAAAUACAAAAAGAACUUCUGUUGGGCCGCCACAAGCAUAUGUACCGAAGAAAUCUGAUCUAGAUCUCUGUUUGGCACUUGUCGGAGGGGGCAAUUAUCAUCGAAAGCCAUCUUCGACAUCUCAGCGGUGUCCAUAAUGAGGAGGGAGUAGUUCAACCUCAUGGUUGAGGGUAUGUACCACUAGCUAUGUCUUUGAUCCCUCUCUCCCCCUCUCAUUUUCUUGAGAUGGCACGAUCUUGAUGUAUCACACGCUUUGUUAAUAUAGUUGGAUCAUAGAACUACAAGAAAUAAGGUCAAUUAUGACUCCCUAUAUUGGUCAUUGAUUCUUCAUUGUUGUCGUUUAUUGACCUUUUUGACCAAAUUUACAACGUCAACAGUUGGCCGUCAAGAAUGAGCAAACAUGACCUUUCUAAAAUUUUGGUCGCACGUCUCUAUCGACCAAAAUUUUGGUUUGGUCAUUACCCAUUUGUGUGAUCCACGUAGGAUCUGACGUGGCCAAGCUCACGUGGCAUUACUAGUGACCAAAUGGAAUCAUCAUAAGUUUGAUAUCCCUGUCCACCAAUUUAGCUACAUGCGCCUGGCCCAAUACCUAUUUUACUAUUGAAAAUGUCUGAUUUGUUUGGGUUGAAGCAUUUUUUUUGCUAGAAGCACACAUAUCAGAGGAUAGGCCCAUCAAAAAUAAGUACAACGGAAUAAAAGUUUGCAAAUAAAAUGUAUAUUUCAUUUCAGUAGCAUAUCACAUCAAAUACAAUACAUCAUCCAUCGACUCCACACAUUAAGAUUCAACGCCUAACAAGGGCACAUCAAAAUAAUUUUACAUGUACACAACAAAAUACUUCUGCAAGUGCAAGUGCACAGAAAAAGGACCCAACAAAUGCACAAUCGCACAUAAAGAGAGUUCCACAAAGAUUGGAUGAGAACGAUAAGUUUCUUCUCAUCCUCAUCCUCUGCACAAUAUGCUCAUGCCAUUGCCACCUGCAAGAAGAAAAUAAUGGUAAGGCUUUCAGACCAAGGAAAC
rnacentral:lncRNA from 1 species